UGGGGAAUUUUGGACAAUGGGCGCAAGCCUGAUCCAGCAAUGCCGCGUGAGUGAAGAAGGCCUUCGGGUUGUAAAGCUCUUUCAGUCGAGAAGAAAAGGUUGUGACUAAUAAUCAUAACUCAUGACGGUAUCGACAG
rnacentral:rRNA from 1 species